rnacentral:lncRNA from 1 species
ACUCAUCUCGCCGAAAACCAACUCCACCAACUUCAAUCCCUUGACAGCCGUAUUACCUAACGAUGGCAAAUCACAAAUAGGAUUUUUGAAGUAAAAGCUUCGGUGGCUCAUCCCCUAACCCCUCAAUUUCCCGAUAGCCACAUCAUCAUCACCAUCUUUGAAGUUUGAAGUAUUUCCAUAUUGGAUUGAUAAAAGGACAAGGCAAACUUCUUCUUUUUUGGUAAAAAAUCCUUCUAUUCUUUGGUCAGAAAAAAAAAAAGAUCUCAUCUUUACGUAACACACAUACAUAUUUGAAUUUUCAAUUGGCCACUGAAACACACAGCACCGACAUAACAACGCCGAUGCAAAAUGGGUCAGCUUGGAUCGUAGAGUAGAGAUGGGAGGUUUAAUAGUGCAGGGGAUUCCCUCGUUGCCUUUCACCCCCUCCCUCAUUUUCCGGUGCCGAUUCGAGUUCGGAUUCGAGGUUCCGCUCGAAAAUAUCUGCUAGUAGAUCCGAUUGGUAGUAGCUCGUUUCAUUCUUGGGAAAGUUCCCUUUGAGAUUUGAGUCUCGGAUUUAGGCGAUUUCAAAGGAAUUUUUCACGAUUUCGACUUGAAUUUGAAGCUUCAGACGAAUUCACGAGACAAAGGCUUGUCGGAUAUUUGAAUUGAUUGCAAAACGAGAUAAGUGUUUGGUCUACCUUAGCUUGAGGAAAUAAGAGUUGAGUAUAUUUGCUACUUGUUAUGUGUUGUGUCCGACGUAUAUGCAUGGUGACGAGUAUCUAUACGUUGGGGUCGAGCAUGACUGUGAGUCCUAAAUUGCUAAAUAGUUGUA